rnacentral:tRNA from 1 species
GCACCCAUAGCUCAGCUGGAUAGAGCGCUGCCCUCCGAAGGCAGAGGCCAGAGGUUCGAAUCCUCUUGGGUGGU